GUGCUCGCUUCAACAGCACGUUUACUAAAAUUGGAAUGAUGCAGAGAAGAUUAGCAUGGCCCCUACAUAAGGAUGACACAUAAAUUUGUGAAGCAUUCCAUAUUAAA